CCUGUUUCCAAUGCCGGUCAAACACUUGACCUGGAAUAUGGGUUUCCUAUUCAAGUUGAACCACACAUUCAAAGUACUCCAACAAAUGUCAACUUGGACCACCACUGUCCCAGAAAAAAAUAGAUCUGGAGAACCCAGCAGAUGACAUCGGCAAACUCGUCGUCAAAAUCGACAAAUUAAUCUGGUUCCCUAUUCACUUCUCUGCUAUUCUCUUGUCUUAUCGCUCCGAUCGACCAAGGAAUUUCUCUAGGUGUUACAGAUGCGUUAUGUACUGUGUUGAAGCUUAAUUCGCCAGCUCUGUCGACCUAUGUGGUGGAAAUUAAAAUGAUAUUGUGAUCGAUCAAGAGGAAGGAAGUGGCGCCCCUUGAAUGAAAGAUGUGAACAAGGUGAGUGCUCGCUCUGGUUGGUAGCUUGGAACCUCAUGGCCUGCUCCCCUUACUGUGGCAAAUACCAACCCCUCGUAACUAAUCACAUAUCCUCCAACCUCGCCGGUGCUAGAGUACCAUGGCCGAAAUGGAGUCUCAGUCUUUAAGUUCAGCGUGUUAAUGGCGUAUCUUGUAGUUGUCACUGCUACUAUCGAAUCAACAUCUCCACUGCACACAAAAACAAACACAAUCCAUACGCCGAACAUCACUAUGAGUAUACAUAUGUAACCCUUAUUUUUUGCCUUAAUAAUGAAAAAAUCAUAAAGAAAAAAAAAUAUUUGAUCAAGUUAUGUGCUGACCUAUAUAUCCAUAAUCUGAUUCCACUUGCUA